UUGCCAGCGAGUCAAACCGUCUUCGACGUCUCAACCCCAUUGCGCCCUCUUCUAGUCGCCACGGAAGCCUGGCGCUCGAUUUCGAUGGACUUCAUCUUCGGUCUUCCGCCCGUUUAGACCGUCGUGAGACAGGUUAGUUUUACCCUACUGAUGAGUUCGUUGUCUAAACAGUAAUCCAACCCAGUACGAGAGGAACCGUUGGUUCAGAUAAUUGGUAACUGCGGUUAGCUGAAAAGCUAGUGCCGCCAAGCUACCAUCUGUAGGAUUAUGGCUGAACGCCUCUAAGUCAGAAUCCAUGCUGGAAUAGACGAUAAUCACCUUUCCCGAUGUGCCGCGAAUAGCGAUAGGUGUCUUCUGGACACCCAACAUCAUACAAUUGCAACGCACUCCGCUGCCUGUCAAGUACUGGCGGUGGAGAGUAGGCUGAUUUGUAAUUUCAAAUAUUGGGAAAGAUAAAUCCUUUGUAGACGACUUAACUACAGAACGGGGUGUUGUAAGCAUGAGAGUAGUCUUGUACUACGAUCUGCUGAGAUUUAGCCCUUGUUCUAUUGAUUU
rnacentral:ncRNA from 1 species